AGCGAACGCUGGCGGCAGGCCUAACACAUGCAAGUCGAACGAACACUUCGGAGUUAGUGGCGGCUGGGUGAGGAGCCCGUGGGGACGUGACUAUAGGUUCGGCAUAACUCUGGGAAUCUUGUGAUAAUACCGAACGUGCGCUUAGGGGGAAAGAUUUAUCGACUUUCGUGCGGCCCGCGUCGGAUUCGCUUGUUAGGGAGGUAAAGGAUCAUUAAGGCGACGAUCAGCAGCUGGUCUGAGAGAAUGGUCACCGACACUGGGACUGGGACGCGGCCCGAACUCCUACGCGAGGCAGGAGAGGGGGAUCGUGCGCAACGGGCGAAGUGCUGACGCAGCCAGGCCGGGUGAAUGAUGAAGGUCGUAGGAUAGUAAAAUUCUUGCAACGGUGACGAUAAUGACGGUACCCGGAGAAAAAGCCCCGGCUAACUUCGUG
rnacentral:rRNA from 1 species